CUCCCAUAGUGGCAGCGAGACGUACGUGGGCAGUACUAACGAGUCACCUGUAGGUCGCUGACUGUGGGGAGAGGAGAGCAUGUCCUCCUCACCCCCCCACGCAGGCCGACCGUCAGACGCUCCUCAGGCUGUGCUUGCCGAGAGGCAUUCCAUAUCAGACACGUCCAGUUCCUGUCCGUUGAACUUGACAGGAAGCCAUUUUUCUUGCAAGACUGUGGUACGGACCUAUACACUUCUCAUGUACAGUGACUAGGGAGACAUUCUAUACUUUUUUUUUUUAAAACCCUAGUCAUUUCAUUCCUUAGUCACAAAGAUGAGUCUCAACUAGCUUACCUACACUGUUUUAAGAAAGAAAAAAGUCAGCCUAGAAUUUUAUGGGCAAAAAAAUGUAAAAAAACUGUGAGUAAAUGGCUAAUUAGAAAGUUAUCCAGAACAAUGAUGGUUAAAAAAAAAAAAACAGUUUGUACUGUGACAUAAUGUGCAUUUGUCCCAUAAUGCAAUAGCAGCGGUCCCCAGGGCUCUUAGAUGCCUUGAAAUAUGCCUGGUGCACACUGAUCCCUAUUUCAUUAUUAGUGAGGGCUGUGUCUGCUAGGUGGAUUCUCUGUCUACCUUGCAAAAACCAUGCUAUCUGCACGUAUCGUGUGGCUAACCAACUCUUUAAAUUUUAUUAGUGAUUUAAUAUUGAUUUACAAAACUAUCAAAUAUCAGGCCUCUAAUUCUACACCUUUCCCACCACCAGAGUUCUGCAUUCCUGCUCCCUCUAGUGGAAGCUACGGCAGUUCUCCCAAGACAAGGAAACUAAGGCAUAGAGGACUUACUCACCCAGCUACCUUACACGGCUCACCACAGGUGGAGCCGGGGCUUAAAAACAUGGCUUUGGACAUUGUUGACGUACGGCUCCGGAGUCCCCCCGAGUGCCCCACUGCACUGCAAACCAGAGGCCAGCUUCCACGACACAGAUGUCCACCCAGCAGGAAAGGGGAGGCUGACGUGACCCUGACGAGAGGCUACGGGGUGGAUGGCAGCCAGCUGCAGCCAAGGGAGCAAACCACUAAAGGCCGCUAGUGCCGGGCAGGUGGACCUGUAAACUGCAGCAAGGCCACAGCCGCCCUCACACCUGCUCUCCUGUGAGCACCGGUCUCUGUACCAUGUGAGAGACUGUCGCUAGAAAGAAAACCUGAUCAAUACAGUUUACUAGGAUGUCCUCUCCCACAGGACUGGAACCACCUGUGUGAGUGCAAAAUGGUAAAUUAAGGGGCCGGGUGGUGGCGCACUGGGUUAACUGCACAUAGUAUGAGGCGCAAGGACCCGGGUUCGAGCCCCUGGCUCCCCACCUGCAGAGCAGAUGCUUCACACGCGGAGAAGCAGGUCUGCAGGUGGUAUCUCUUUCACCACUCCCCCUUCUCAAUUUCUCUGUCUUAUCCAAAAUGGAAAAAUGGCUGCCUGGAGAGCAGAGCAUUUGCACCGAGCCCCAGCUAUAACCCUGGAGGCAAACAGACAAAAAAAACACACACCGCCUAUCUGGCUCGAGAAAAAAAUGUUAAGCUGUAUCGUCUGCUUACAGUUAGGCCUGUAUGCUUGGGAGAUUUCUGAAUCUGCAGAGCUACUAAGAACAGCAAUGCCAUCCGCACAGCCCCCGUUCCUUCUGGGACAGACAUCUGGAGCUCAUUAAACGCAGUCUGGCACUGAGAACAUUCUCGGCCCCACUAUUCAACCUUCCCCAGUCGGUCAGGCCACUGCUUCUGUCUCCCCUCCUCUGAGUAGCCUUUCCUGAUUCAUAAAGCAGACUGGAUCAUCUCUGUCUUCCCUGACCCGUUGGGCCACGGUCUGUGGAGGUGUGGUCAGGUUAAGCUUUUCCUGUGUCACGGAGAGAGCUGCUUAUCUCAUUCUCUGUGUGAAGGGGGUGUUGUCAGUGUUAGCCACCGGGAGCUCAGGAAAUCUUCUGUCAUCUGCAGAUGCAGGGAUGGGGCCUGCUCUCCACUGCUCCGCCGCCUUCCAGGGGAGCAGAGUUCUGCCUGGUCCCCCGAGUCCCAAAGCGAGUUGACAGUGGUGUCUAGGUACUAAGAAUCAGCCACGAUUCUCAGUCCUCAACUACCAUUUGCAGCCAGGGAUGCCUGAACAGCGCUAGAGAGAAAGUAGAAAUUCUAAAAUGAUCUAAGAGUUUCUGUCCAAGAGUUACCAUAUUUUAUAGAUUUAUAUUUCUUUAUUCACUAUUGAAUACAAAGAGAAAUUGAGAUGGGAGAGGAAGGUAGAGACCCCUGCAGCCCUGCGUCACCUCUCAGGAAGCUUUCCUCCUGUAGGUAGGGGAGCAGGGGCUUGAACCUGGGUCUUUUUUUUUUUAAAUAUCUAUUUAUGAAAGAGAUAUCAAAAUAUAGAGAGGCAGACUAGAGCCCUGCUCAGCUCUGGCUAAUGAUAGUGCUGGGGAUUGAACCUGGGACCUUAGUCUCAGGCAAGAAAGUCUUUUACCGAGCCCCACUGGUUAAGUGCACAUAUCACCACACUCAAGGACCCAGGUUCAAGCCCCUAGGCCCCACCUGCAGGGGUGGGGGGACAAUGCUUCAUGGUGGAGAAGCAGGACUGCAGGUGUCUGUCUCUGCCUCUCCCCUCUCAAUUUCUCUGUUGUCUCAGAUAAAAUUAAAAAGAAAAUACCAAGCCCCAGCUAGUAAUUCUGAUGUGGUUUAUAUUCCUACCAGUACUUGCUCGCACACUUGACUUAAGAUAAAGCAGGGCUGCAACCAGCGACGGACGGCAAAGCCUCUUCACUUGUUUCUCUGGGCUUCUUCUCUCGCCGGCUUCCCAUUCCUCGUAUGUGUUUUCUUCAACGUUAACAUCCUCAGUCAUUACUCACUUGCGGGCAAGCUGGGCGUGCACCCAGGCCCUGAGCCGCCAGAGCCGGAAUACCCUGAGUUUGACUCUGCAGCAAUCUCUCUGGUCAGACCGGUGGAGCAGCUUGCUGAGGCCCAUGUAGACAGAGCGUGAGAACCACGCAGACACAAAGGAGCAAAGGAACCUGUGAGGGAAGACUGGAAGACAGCAGGCAGCCAGGCCCAGAGGCCCGUGAGCGAGUCUAGCCCUCCCGGUGGAAUCGUCCGAGCCAGUGCUGCUGUGAGCCAAACACUGAGCUCAUCUCAACAGCUCCCGUCCCAGCCCUGGGUCACUGGGGGAUCCCACAGAUGGCCGGUCCAGAGAGUCCUCCACGCGAUUCCAAAAACAAACGGAGAUGCUGUCAUGGAAACCCUAGAUGUCUGCAUUCUGCAUUUCACUAUGGAUCCCAUCCAGGUCACAACCUAAAGGAGACGGCUGGCAAAAAGACCGCUGCUCUGCUGGCCAAGGACCCCGCCUGCAGAAUGCGGCCCAGAGAGCCAGGAACCAGCCAGCAUGUAUUUGUUGCGCUGCCAAGUCUGGGACAAGGUGUCACCUAGUGAAGGCCAGUCAGUCUCUGGCUUAUUCCCCCGGGAGAACCUAAAAGGACACGUGCAAUCGAGACUCCACAGCUGGGAGCUGCCUCCGGACAGAAGAGGAAAGUGAAGUGUUUGUGUCAGAGGAGCAACGAGACAUUAUUUGCUCUCCUGCUAUAUUCAGCUUUCACAAAGAAACAUCUCGGGAAAGCCUUAGUCCCACCAAAAUCACUACGGACACCGACGAGUCACUCAGGGUUCGGGGCUGGGCUAGACAAUGUCACCAGGUUUGAUUUCAAUAGAACAAGGUCAGUUUUUUCCCCUAAAGGCAAUACGGAUGUCCCUGGUUCUUACUAUGUUUGCUUAACCCAGUAGGCCACUGCCAGCCCGCCCCCCCACCGGUCCCUAUUUCUUGAAUGCAGUGAAUUCUAGUAGAUACUAAAAAUAUUGAAGAAAGGAAUAUUCAAGAAAGGAGAACUAACUUA